GGAAGCCAUAUUCAUUAAUUAAAUAGCUUAGUCCAUGUAGGCCUCAAUUUGCGCUGUUGAGCAGGCAGCGGGUGGCGUAAUACUGGAUGCCCGAUUGGAAGCCUAUAAUCUGUGGGGAGAAGUCUGGAGAGACGGUGAGCAGUGAAAGCAACGAGGUGUGGUUGUGCCCCCUGUGUCAACAAGGCUUACCAGACAGGGGCUCCCUUUCUCUGCACCUGUCUGACAGUCAUAGUGUGCUCCCUAACUGUGUAGACAAGCUGCUGGACAUUGCUGCUCCCAAACAGGGGGCGAGUGGAGUGGACGGGGACACCGAUGUUCUGCAUGACGCAGAUGCUCCGUCAUUACAGCUGGAGCUUUUAGAAGCCUCCUCCGCCUCCCUCUCAGACCCGUGUCAUAAUAAUGAGAACACUGACGGACCCCAACAUAAUUCCGACAGUAGGCACACUCUCGUUGGGUCUGGAGACAAAGAUAAAGAGAUGGAUAAGGAGGCAGAGGAAGCUAGAGAUCUGGAGGGAGGUGGAGUUCAGGAGAGAGAUCAGUCCACAGAAACACCUGACAACAAUGAAGAGUCAAGGGGUACAAAUUGUGUAAUGGCUGAAGGCGAUGACAGUCCUCCAUUCAAGUGUAAUACGUGCUUAGAGGCUUUUCCUACCAGGACCGCAUUAAGUGUUCACUACAACUCUGCAUCCCAUGUGCAACGGAUGAGAACAGGAUCCCUAAAACAAGGUGGCGAAAAUGGGACCCCAGCCGCUCCCUCAGUCCCUUUUCUGUCUCGGCCAUAUCUAUCAAACAAGCCCUACCAGUGCACUGUGUGUCGAGUCUCUUACAACCAUGCCAUCACCCUGGAGAGUCAUUUGAAAUCUGUUUUGCACCAGACUCGUAGCAGAAAUGCAGGAAUCUCUGCCAACAGUGCAGGUGGAAAUUCAGGAAGGACCAAUAUGGCUACGAACUUAGUUGUUACGUCUGGGGGCAGUGCUGCACAGUUGGUUAGCACCCCCAGCAGCAAUUGUGUCACCCCGGCAAGCCUGGCUGCUGCAGCAAUGACUAACAAAGAUGGAGAUGCAAUUCAAACCCAGCCGUCUCCCUCACUGCUUUCCUCCCCUGUGACCUCUGCUCAGGCAGUCUCUGCUUUUCUCACCCUCCUCACGUCCAGCCCAAGCUCUAUCUCACACUCCCUCCUCCCCUCCCUCCUCCCCUCUCUGUUUGCGGCUGGUGCAUCCCCUGCCACGGCCUCACCUCAGCUCAUAACCCAGACUCAGAUGCUCAUCCCCUUUAUUCUGAAUGGGCUCCAAACACAAAGCCAGAGACUAAACCCAGAGCUUCUGACCCAGUCAAUACCCCUACUAGGUCUCAAUGCUGCCCAGCAAGCUAUCCUGGCCCAAAGACUCAGUAGCUUACAGAACCAGUGGCCAGCUGUCGGUCUCCAAGCAAUCUCACAAGCCUGUUCAGAAGACAGCCAAACAAACAAGAGCAAAGUGAAGCAAGACACAAACGAGGCGACAGCUGAGGAGAAAGGAUCACUUAAGGCUGAGGAGGAGGACAGUUGGUCCAUGGAAUGUGGUGAUGGAGAAAGAGAGAUUUGUGAGGAGGAUGGUAAGGGAUAUGCACAAGAGCAUCUCGGUGCCUUAGUAGGCAAAAAUAACAGGGCUGAGUCAUGUAUGAUAGAUGGAGAUAUUGAAAUGAAAGAGAGCACAACAGAGAGCGGGAACUCAGCAGGUCACAUGGGGCCAGAUGAGAAAGUGGGGGACAAUGACAAGUGUAGUGACCGCUCACUGUCUGUUACCAGCAACUCAAGCCUAAGUCCUACCACUUUAAACCUUUUGCUUAGCCCUGAUUCUACCCCUCAAAAAUCUGAAGUUGGCACAAGCCCUUAUGCCUCUGUCUGCUCCCCGGAAUCUAGCCCCUCUAAAUGCACCUUAAAUUCCCCCGAUUCAACUCGUCGCCAUGCUCAUUUCAGGGCUCGCCACUUCUCAGGCCCCCCGAUACUGUCAGAGUUCCAGAUACAGGUUAUGCGUGCGUUUCUGGAGUCGCGUAGCGAGGCUGAUGCAGCCAGUCCUCCCCGUGAAGACUGCGAGUCGUUGGGCAGGGAGGUGGGGCUCACCGAGGUGGAGGUACGCAAGUGGCUCACCGACGCCCGACGAGCCAAAGAGCGGCAGAUAGCUGGGGGAACAGAGCGCGUGAGCAGCAUUGCAGGCUAUGGUAAAAAAUACAAGGGUCUUGAUAACGACGAGGAGGAAGGUUGUCUUACGAUAGAUGAGACAGAGGGUGGGGUCAGCGACGAGGCCUCUGGCAGUCACGCGAUGGAUUUGUCAAAUAGUGGAGGGCGUAAAGAGAUGGGGAGGGAGAGCCAAGGGGACUCGUGUCUGACCUCAGACAAUGAAGAAUUCUACACCUCUGUCAUUGUGAGUGAUGAGGACAGCCUGAGUGGCUCCAUGAGGGAGGGGCCAGGAAGCCCUGCUAAAGAGGAGGCUCUGGUAGAACUGUCAGCAGACAAGGGUUCAGGAGGAAAGGUGUUGCGCUCCACCACUGUGUUCCUCUCAGACGCUGAGGAUGACGAUGAUGCCGAGGAGGCCGCAGCUCAGAGAGCAAAGAGAAGAAAGAGAAAGAGGGAGUUGGAGCGGGAGGAGGUAGAGGUUAAGAAGGAGAGACUAGACCCCGACGUGGAUUUACAACUAGAGGCCCAAGCUGAUCCUCCUUCCCACCUUCCCGUCACCAUUGACCAUCAACGGCUUCCAAGUGGCAUUCUACACUCCCUCCCUCUGUCUCUGUCCCUCACUCCAUUCUCUAAUCAGUUCCAUAGCCCUUAUGUUCUCUCUCUCCCUCCCUCAGUGGUUGGGCUUGGAGUUGCAGAAGGAGAUGGAGGCAAAGUACCUGCCUUUCCAAACCCCCCUAACAUCACCCGGUUUUCUGACCCUCUCAUUACAUCAUCCCUCUCCUCCCAUACCCACACCUCCCACUACAUGUCUAAUGGAGGAGACUGUGAGGCUGCUUUAGAUCUCAGCAUUGGGAAAAGCAACAGCUCAACAUCUCUCACGGGUGACAAGACUUCAGCACAAAAGGGCCGUCUGCUUGAUGGACUCGGUCUAAGGCCCACAGCUUUUGGGGCACCUGGGGAAGGGAGACUCAUUGUGGUCAAGGUCAAACCUGAGCAAGCGACUUCCAACAGCAGUGGCUUUGUCAGUGGGAAUAACAUGGCCAAGGCCAGCACUGUCUACAUGAGAGAGAAAGAGGAGAGAGACCAGAAAGGCAGGCCCAAAGCACGGCGGUACCGCGACAUGAGACGUUCCAGGACCAUCAUCCAGGCUGAGCAGCUAAAUGUGCUUUAUGGCUGCUAUUUCAAAGACCCAAAUCCUGGGAAACACGAGUUUGAGCAGAUAUCAGAGUGGGUCCAUCUCCCAAAGAAAGUUGUACAGAUUUGGUUCCAGAACAUGCGGGCCAGGGAGCGCAAGGGUGAGGUUCGCUUCAUCAGUGAUGGCACUCUGGCAGCAGUGGGCAAACCACUCAUCAAGUUCACCUGGCCACUGUCACAACCCAUCUUCUCCAGCACCCCCAAAUCAAACUCCAACAGCAGCGUCUCAACUGUAGCCAAUCCAGUACGGGCCAUCCCAAAGAUGGAGGUGAAGAAGGAGGAAAAUGUAAAAAAAACUGUUCCAAACAGGCCCAAGGAGGUGGCCUCUUCCGUUUCCUCCGUGAGCCACAGUGUGUCUGCAGUGCCAAAGACCAAAAUGGAGUUGACGAACAAUGUCACAAUGGUCAAAAUCGCCCCCAAAAGCAUCGCUCCAGCUCUCCCUGUCGUCCACAAGGAAACCCGACCUCCCCCGCCUCGCCCCCUUCCCAAACAUGCGCCUGAAGAGGAAGUUGGGGAAGAUGAUGAGGAAGUGGAUGAUCGUAACCAAGCGAAGCCACUCGCCAGGCCUGGAUCCACCAACCGCAUGGUGCCAAAACUGCCCUCGACGCCAAUUAACAAGUCUCCUGCUGCGACGUCACAAAAGCAAAAUGGGCUCAAUUACUGGUCGGCCAAGGGCCCCUUUAAGAUCAACACACUGUCUAGGGAACAGUUGGGUCUGUCAGCACCCCGUACCUUCACAGCUGUCGGUGCAGCUGCUGCCCCCACUGCCAUCACCAUUUCUGCCACGUCCUCUGCUCCUGCUGCUGCCACGGCCUCUGCUCCUGCCUCUGCUGCCACGGCAACUACCACCCCCACCACCACCACCACCACAGCAAGCGCAAGUAAUCAAACCACAGUCAGCAUUGUCACCAUCGCUAAGACCUCUCCAUCGGAGAGCAGCUUCCUGCACCACUCCACCACCCGCAGGCCACGCACACACCUGUCCUGUCUGCAGCUGUCCAUCCUGCAGUCAUGCUAUGAGACGUGCGCCCACCCUAACGCCAUGGAGUGUGAGGCGGUAGGGACGGAGCUGGGGCUGCCGCUCAAGGUGGUCCAGAUCUGGUUCCAGAAUACCCGCGCCAAGGAGAAACGAUGGAGGCUGCAGCAGGAGAAACUGUCUCCUGUGUCGUCAGAUCCCUCCAAGACGAUUGACAUGAGCUCGGGCAGCUACCUGCAGUACAACGCUCUACGAGCCCACCGUCCCAUCCUUCCCAAACCGGUUCAGCUGACCGUCCUGGAGCCCUCUUCUCCCCCAGCCGGGGGCCAGCCUGCAGGCCGAGAGACGCUGAGAGGCAAGUGCCAGGCCUGCAACACAGGCUUUGAGUCCAGAGCAGCAGCAAGAUCCCAUGUCUUCUCCCUUCGACAUUUAGCCACUCUGAGAACCACUAACUUUGGCCAGCCAGCGACCAUCAUCAACAAUAAAUCUGAUAGCGGGUCUAUUUCUGUUUCCGCCUCCGGGUCUUGUGUGGAGGACCCUUCAGCUUCCCCACCCUUACCCAGCAGCACCAGCUAAGGCACCCAUCAGUGCUGGUAAAGACUGGACCCAUUGGGCUCCUUAAAUGUUUAUAAACACAUUGGGCACUGGUCCUCCAAGCUAAUAUUCUUUAAUGUGUGAUGGAAAGGCCCAGUCACCUACCACCCUUGCUCCCUCACAUUGGACGUCUUUCUACCGAGUUCUUGUGUCCAAACUGGAUACACUGUUGUCACACUGCUUCACCAAAAGUUAUCAAAUGAGUGAACAUUUACCAGUCCCUUAUAUUGUCCUGGGCUGCGGUUAUAAUAUUGUCCUUAACCAUCCUGGCCCAGUUUUUAAAUCACUCUUAUAAUACUUGUGUAUUAUCCCUAAAGACUGUGCUUAUGCAAAAAAACAAUUAGGCCAUUAUCUGACUGACUAAAAAAAGACUGCUGGGAUUACCUGUAACUGUAUAGAGUUGAACCAGAAAUGAGAAGUAGCUCUUUUUUUUAGUGGCGUUGAACUUGCCAUCUUGAUUGUGUGUCACUACAAGCUUUCUGUAUGGAUACAGGUGGCGUGCGUUUGGAUGGUGUAUGCUACUUCACAUGGAAUCGGAAGGAUACAUCAACUUCCUGGGGAGGUCAAAGGAAACAGACUUGACAAGAAGAACUAGAAAAGAACGGGGUUUAAUUUCUGAGAUUUAAAUUUUUUUUUUUCUGUCUUGAAACAUAUGUGGUUGCAAGCUAGUACUUAUCUGUGUAUGGGUAGAACAAUGCAAGUCCAGAAACCAGGAGAAGGGAGUCAGUUGGGUACUCUAGUCGUCACCUUUGUCUUACUGGGGAUACUUCUGUAAGCAAUUGGGACAUGCAAAAAGUCAAGACCGCACAAACUAUGAAAGGUGCUGUUUUGAAGGACACAAAAUACUAAAGAUAUUUUUCCUUCUGUUUUAAGUUGUAUAUUAUUAAUAAUGUUACUAUUAAUAGUAUUGACAAAAUGCAAAAUGACAAAUUACACUUUUUUUUUCUCUUAAAAAAAAAAAAAAGAAAUAUAUUAAGAAAAAAAUAAUAUUCCAAAGUUAUCCUUCCUUUUGCUUUCUGUCAUUUAAAAAAACCAAAAAGCAAUCUUGAGGUUGACAGAGCAGCAGAGAUGUUCUUCAUGCAGACUGUAAAGGAACUCCCAUGGCUUGACAUUUGAGCCAGUCCAACAUUUUUUUACCAUGAGCUACAGAUGAAUGCAUUUCAGCCUUCACAACCUGGGGCAGGCACUUGAUUUGGCUCAUAGACUACAAGUUUUAAAAUAUCCUUCAUAAUUACUAAUCUUUUUUUUUUUUUUUUUUUUUUGUUUGUUAUGGUGUCGAGCUGUAGCUUGUCUAAAAAUAAGGACUGGGUUGCAGUGCUGUGCUCUAAGUCUGGGAUCGGUCCAAGGUAGUUUUAUGGAGAUAUGCUUUUUAUUCUAUUCACUAUUCAUUGUCACUUGAUUAUCACUAUUGUUAUAACUACUACUUCUGCUAUUUUUAUCAUUAUUCAUCACUGUUUUGAUUGUUGACUCAUAACGGUUUUAAUGAUGUCUCUUUACUCAAGAAAGAGAAUUUUUAUUGGUAUGAAUAUUGAACAAUAAUGGUGGCAGUGUGUUAUAAGUGUGUUAGCAUAUUGAUUCAGCUUUUUUUCCUUACUUGUACUCUCAUUUUGUGUUGGAUCGCCAUUUGGUUUUCUUUGGUAUACAGAAAAUAAAUACAUUUUAAUUGAACAACAAAACUGGUCCUAUUACCAUGUUAUUGG